AAGUCGUAACAAGGUUUCCGUAGGUGAACCUGCGGAAGGAUCAUUAUAAAAUUUAUCAUAUAUUAAAUUUAUUUAAUAUAUAAAAUUUAUACAAAAAUGUAUUCAAAACCCACACUCUUUAUAACCAUAAAAAAAUAUAUUAUAUAUUUAUAAUAUAAUAUAAAAAAAAACAACUUUCAACAACGGAUCUCUUGGCUCUC
rnacentral:misc_RNA from 1 species